GCCGACGUGGCGGAACUGGAAGACGCGCUUGGCUUAAAUCCAGGUGUCCGGCAACGGGCGUGGGGGUUCGAAUCCCUCCGUCGGCACCA
rnacentral:tRNA from 1 species